UUCUGGUGCAUCUCAUUCCCUUUGAUAGGACAAAUGGAAUUUUCCCUCAUACUCCCUUAAGAAACUCAUAUCCGGCCCACUCUUUCCCCAUGAACCGAAACUUCCACUCUCCUCAUUUAUUCGAAAUCAUUUCUAGUGUCCUACCUCACUCUUAUUUGAACUACCACCUGACAUCCUACAUCUCAUUCAUUCUGCGCCGCUAAUUCCUUCUCUUAUCUGCGAUCAACCUUUUUGGGCACCUAUGUCAUCCAACAAUUUUCCAUUGCCAGUGCCUACUUUCCCCUUUAGCACCAAUUCAAUGGAUCUGACGUCUUUCUUUCAUUAAUAAAAUCAAAUCCUUCCUUUGGCUCCUCUUCAAUCAACGACUUUCUACUCACGUAUUCCUUUUCGGUCGUACCAUAUUUAUUCUGGAUGCAACUUGCACCGUCAGUCACACCUUGGUGAGGAUGCUCUCCACCUUUUCUUUUAUUGCCCCCCCCCCCCAAACCUCCAAACACAUCUGAAAUCUGUUUUGCAUAGACACCCACACUAUCGAUCACUUUCAAUGACUUCGCAUACAAUGUCUUGCCCCACCUCCUAUACCUUAUCCCCUCGUGUUCAAGUUCUUGGAGCUAAUAUUAUUCCUUAUAUUCUUUUCGCCAUCUGGCUUACCUCCAGUAGAAAUAUCUUUUAAAACCGACGUGAUUUCACAUCCCCAACAUUUGUUAUUUUUCUUGCCACUGAAUUAGGACGUUAGCCAAGUCCUCCUCUUUAUAAGGCUUUACUUCUACGCCCCGCCCAUUUGCCUCUCGGUCCCCACCACCACCUGGGCUUCUUAAAUUAAAUAUUGAUAAGGCAUGCUCAUCUGCAACUAAGUAUGGCCGUGCGGUCGGUGUUUUCUGAGAUGAUAGAUCUAAUUGUAUCUUUGGAUAUCACCAACCUCUUUUUUCAACAGCGGUUCUACAUACUGAAUUACUUGGUCUUUAUUAUGGGACCUCUUGGAUAAAUCACAACAUUACCAGUUAUACCAUUGGCCCCUCUACGCCAACCAUGUGGCUGAUCUUCUAGCCAAGCAUGGCAAACAGUUUACUCAUGAUACAGAUUUUCCUAGGAUGUAUGAUACAAGACGAAUUAGCUUCACUCUUUUGAGAUUUAUGCUUCAAGGACCAAAUCUAAGGAUCCAUGGCUUUGAUCAUCCUAGGAAAGCAAGUAUGUGAUUCGAAGAUACCUUGGUAAGGAUCUACAUUUGAUAUCAUCUAAGGGAGUAUGAGAAACAUCGCAUUUGGAUGAUAGCAUGAGGACACGGGAGAGCAUAUGUGCUAACAUAUGAUCAUUUGACAUUAAGGGACACUUUUGAGCCCACUUGAUAUUUAGGGUCACUUUUGGGCCAUCUUGUAAUAAGUAUCUCAUGACUAUAAAUAAUUAAGUUUUUCUUCAUUUUUAAAUAGUUGUUGAAUGAUAAUGCGUGAUACACUUGCGAGUGUCUUUAAGCUUGUUGGGAGCUUAUUGAUUUGUUGAGAAACGUAGGUUGCGAGUGGAUUAGUUUCACUCGGGGUCUUCAUAAGAGAAUUGUUGCUUGUAGUUGAAUUACGUUUGAGAGCCUCAAUUUAGUAUAUUGUGGUUUGUAUCCUUUACUUUUGUUGCUUUCAUUUCCAUUGUUUC